GGCAGGGGGAGAGUGCGACCCCCGGAGAGGCCGGGGGCGGCGGAGCUGCCCAGCCCGUCCUCCCACCGCGUGGUGCGGGAGGGGCCGCGCGUCGCGCUCCGGCCGGCCCCGCACCGCGGAGCGCGGCUCGGGGACGCGCGGCUCGGGCAGGGGGUGGCGGGGGUUUGAACACCCCCCGCGGGUUCCGUUGCGGAGGGCUGCUGCUUGUCUCCGUGUUCCUGCCUCCUCUCCCUUUCUUAAUUUAUUUAUUUAUCAGCUCUUGCGCUCACCAGGAGGCCGGCGAGCCGCCGCGCACCGCUGUGACCGCGUUGCGGUCUGUCGGCGGCUCUGAUGCGGCGAGCGAGCCCCCCACGCCGCGCUGCCCGGCCCAGGUCCUCCGUGCCGGCGGGGGCGGCGGUCCCCAGCGGCCCCCUUGGUUCCGUGCACCGCCGGUGAACCCCUGUGGGACUGCACCCCGUGGGCGGCGCGCCUCGAGGGGCGAAUGGCCACGGCAGCACCCUCGGGACGCCCCGUCCGGCAGCGCCUGCAGCGCCGGGGGUUAAAAGCCAGUUUGGGGGUGGUGCCACCAGUCGCCCCGGGAGGUGGUGGCCCGGCGACUCCUCGGGGAGGACCCGCAGUAGCCUUGAGAAGGAGAGGCUGGAACCUCAGCCUCGGAGCGGGCAAGUCCGGCAAGGGGUUCUUGGGGAAGGCUCUUCUUCGCCAGUCCCUUUUUCUUCCGGGAAGCUGUAGCCUUUCAGCUCCCCCAUUUUCCCUAUCUGCCGUGCGCACGCCAGCCUUGCUGGGUAUUUUUAGCCGGCGCCGCUGAUUAGCAUUCAGGGGAGCAAGCGAGAGAGAAAAAGCAGUUUUCCAAAUCGUUUUCUCUUCCAGCAGCGCAAGUGCACCUGUUGGUGGCAGGAGGGGCAUGUGUGGCAUGAUCCGGUGUUUGGCUUUCUGCAAGAUGCGACCUUGCUCCCUCUGUCCCGUCGGGGGCCCAUAGAGCACUGAGUGUGUGAGAAAACACAGAAGUCCUGACCAAUCUUCUUGUGUCCCUUGAAAGAAGGGGUGGCUGGCGGUCUGAUCCCCAGCCACGCUCAGGUUUUCCCGUACCCUGAGGACUGAGUGUGUUGGCCUGCUGAUCUGUGGCCGUGUGAAGAUUUUGCUCUAUGAUCUGUCACUUUGGCUCUGCUUGUGGUAAGUGCCUGGACUGCUGGGGAAGAUCUUCAGGUGUCUGGAAAAGAACUCACCCCAUCACUCUUAAAAUGUGAAUGCAUGGAGGACACACAGGAUUUUAUAAAUUAUAGCACACAACUCCCGAGAUCUCUUGGGCAUCAAAAUAUUCCUUUAGAAAGCACAUGUAAACUCUCAGUCCAGCUGUUCAUCCCGAGAACCCUGGUAUACACACUCUCUGUGGAGGAUGAAGAGAGGGAGUUAGUGGGGAGUAAACACUUAAUGAACUAAUUAUAUGUAGAAUGGACAAAGUGCCUUACUCCCUGACACACAGCAUAAACUUACAUGUGAGGGAAAUGUUUGAUUUGUAUAACUUGAUUGUCAAGACCUUAAAAAAUUGAAAUAUUUAUUGUGAAUGGUGAGAACAUUAAUUUAACACUAAAUAAAUACAAAAC